rnacentral:rRNA from 1 species
AGUGAACGCUGGCGGUAGGCCUAACACAUGCAAGUCGAACGGCAGCACAGGAGAGCUUGCUCUCUGGGUGGCGAGUGGCGGACGGGUGAGGAAUACAUCGGAAUCUACUCUGUCGUGGGGGAUAACGUAGGGAAACUUACGCUAAUACCGCAUACGACCUACGGGUGAAAGCAGGGGACCUUCGGGCCUUGCGCGAUUGAAUGAGCCGAUGUCGGAUUAGCUAGUUGGCGGGGUAAAGGCCCACCAAGGCGACGGUCCGUAGCUGGUCUGAGAGGAUGAUCAGCCAGACGGGAACUGAGACACGGUCCAGACUACUACGGGAGGCAGCAGUGGGGAAUAUUGGACAAUGGGCGCAAGCCUGAUCCAGCCAUACCGCGUGGGUGAAGAAGGCCUUCGGGUUGUAAAGCCCUUUUGUUGGGAAAGAAAUCCAUCUGGUUAAUACCCGGGUGGGAUGACGGUACCCAAAGAAUAAGCACCGGCUAACUUCGUGCUAGCCGCCGCCGUAA